rnacentral:rRNA from 1 species
AUUGAACGCUGGCGGCAUGCUUUACACAUGCAAGUCGAACGGUAACAGGUUAAGCUGACGAGUGGCGAACGGGUGAGUAAUGCAUCGGAACGUGCCCGGUCGUGGGGGAUAACGCAGCGAAAGCUGCGCUAAUACCGCAUACGAUCUGAGGAUGAAAGCGGGGGACCGUAAGGCCUCGCGCGAUCGGAGCGGCCGGUGUCAGAUUAGGUAGUUGGUGGGGUAAAGGCUCACCAAGCCGCCGAUCUGUAGCUCGUCUGAGAGGACGACCAGCCCAAGUGGGACUGGGACACGGCCCAGAGUCCAACGUGAGGCAGCAGUGGGGAAUGUUGGACAAUGGGCGCAAGCCUGAUGCAGCAAUGCCGCGUGCAGGAAGAAGGCCUUCGGGUUGUAAACUGCUGUUGUACGGAGCGAAAAGGCUCUCUCUAAUACAGGGGGCUCAUGACGGUACCGUAAGAAUAAGCACCGGCUAACUCCGUGCCAGCCGCCGCAGUAA